AGACUGCAGAGAGACAGUGUGAACCUAAACAGAACUCUGCAGGAGCAGCGAACUGGCCUUUGCAGCACCUGGACCUGCCCUUCUCUCCUCAGCACCUCUAACGAGACUCACUCAUCUCACCCUCUAGACAGCGCUGAAUGCUGAGGAGGAGCCUAGCCUACAGCCACAGAAGGACUGGUCUAGGAAGGACAAAACCAAACUUGGCUGCAGCUUUCUGAUUGAGAAGCACCCCAUAUCAUGAUGUGAACGAUCGGCGGCAGAUUCGUUGAUUCCGAAAAUCAUGCUCCUGACUCCUGAUAUUUUGCUCUCCAUUCAGUGUAAAGCACAUUAUCAAUUUGAGCUACUAGUAGACGUUAAGAUACAGCAGCCUCUUCGUAUUCAAAUAAGUGUGUGAUCGGUGUGAGAUUGUGCACACUAUCCAGCAAUGUGUCCAUUCACUUGUGCCUCACAUUCACAAGGUUAUGGUCUUGUAAAAAAAAAAUCUGUUUUUUGCUUUGUCAUUAUGGGGUAUGGAGUGUAGAUUGAUGUGAAAAAAAAGAAUUUAAAGCAUUUUAGUAUAAGGCUGCAACAUAACAAAAUGUGAAA